CUGGGGCUUUUGGGCCCGGGAGGAAAGUCCGGACAUCGCAGGGCAAGGGUGCCGGUUAAUGACCGGGCGGGGCGACCCGACGGAAAGUGGAACAGAAAACACACCGCCGAUGGCCCCGCGAGGGGAUCAGGCAAGGGUGAAAUGGUGCGGUAAGAGCGCACCGCGCUGGCGGCAACGGCAGCGGCAUCCCUGGCUCCCGAUG
rnacentral:RNase_P_RNA from 1 species